UGGAUGUCUGGAGUUUUGAUCUCCUCCAUACCUGCUUCAUGCCCUGGAGGACGGGGCUGUGGCCCCCCCACACCCUCUAGCAGAUCAUUACAUGAAGGAACCUUUUAAAAAACAAAAAACAAGCGCGUCCAUGCUCACAGGUGUACACACGGGUGAUCACACCCACAAACUACACCCUUUUUGGCUCCUACCUCAAAGCACACUGUGUUCUGUUGAUCUUAUGUGCUGCACAAUAAUGUUUAAUAUUUAGUAUUUACUGUCAUAUUCCCAUAUAUCAUUGUGAUGUUGUUUAUUCUAUUACUCUUGUUAUCUUCUGCUUGUUUUCUUUUUUCUUUCUCAGCAGGUGACCCAGGUGAUUGAUAUAUGCAUUUUUUUUUCUUAUUUUUUUUUCUGCUCAUUCUGUUGGUUUUUGGUUUUUGCCCUUCUCCCCCGUCCCUCUUCUCAGCUGUUUCUCUUUCCCUCUUUCUUUCUCCCCUUCUUUCCCCCAGUCAAGUCUGUCCCAUAUUCAGUAAGUGAAAAUAAAAUGAACAAUAAAAGGUGAAUCAAAUGGACCAUUACGGCAAGGCUGGGAUGGUCAAUUUGGUAAAGUAAAUCCGUUGGGCAUCUUUCUUUGCCUUUAGACAACAAUUCUGAUGGCAAAAGAGCCAAACGGGACAGGCAAAAAGAAAAAAAAAAAAACAGUCUUUGUCUUGAUCUCAGUCUUUGUCACAGUGGUUAUUGAGAUUCCCCGUGUGAUUUCCUUUGUGUACUCUUGUGACUGUUGCUGUUUUCUUGCAGCUUGGACUUUCUGUUUGGCUCCUGUAUCAAGAUCCUCAUCAGAGAUGCCAUUUGGGUCCUGCACUCUACCGUGUUUUGACAAUAUGAUAGAACUUCAUUGCUUCCCUUGUGUACGACCGGCAAGUCUGCAAAUUUUCUUCUACAAGUAGCACUUUAUAAAUAACUUACCAUAGAUGGUCGGGGCCUUUGACAUUAUAAACCCUUUAGAAGCAUGCAACCCUGCAAUAUUAUGCCCUA
ensembl:lncRNA